rnacentral:misc_RNA from 1 species
GAAACGCGAUAUGUAAUACGAAUUGCAGAAUUCAGUGAGUCAUCGAAUCUUUGAACGCACAUUGCGCCCGCCAGCAUUCUGGCGGGCAUGCUUGUUCGAGCGUCCUCAAAAACCCUCGGGCCCAAGGCGCAAGCCUACGGCACGGUGUUGGGGCGCCGCGGCUGCCGCGGCCCCCUAAAUUCAGUGGCGGACCUCCCUGUGGCCCUGGCGUAGUAAAUAACCUCGUCUUCGGUUGCUGGGAGGGGCCUGCCCCCAAAACCAUCUCACCAAUUUGGACCUCGAAUCAAGUAGGAAUACCCGCUGAACUUAA